GGCCAGCGCCAGGAAGCCUGCACACGCAGAGCCCCGCCACAGAGCCAUGGGGACCCUGGCGCUGCAGCAGUAGCGGUGACAGAUGGUGGCUCACUGUCCAUGACCUGAACGAUCUAUCUUGCUGCAGCCUGACCUCCAUUUCUUAGGUGUACUCUCAUCCCAGGAGGAGGGCAAUCUAAACGGACAGCCAGGUGGGCCCUGAAGAGCCUACUCUCUGGCCUUUCCAAGCAAGGGAGCAAAUCAAGCCAACCUGAGAGACAGAGUGAGAGUUUUGACCUCCGCAUCGCUCUGGCAACCUCAAGGAAGUUCUGCUUACUCAAAGCGUGCCCAGUGAGUUGGGGUUGCUCCAAGAGAGCAGGAAGAUGGGCGCAGGAUACGAGCUGGUGCCGGCCAGCCUCCAUUAGGAUCAACAUGAGAUGUGGGUGGAGGCCUUGAGGACUGAGGAAACCUGGAGAAAAUUGCUUGUGGCUCAGGCCCAGGUGCAAACACUCCCAAUUACCUAAAAUCAGGACACUGUGUUCCAAAGCAGUGUGUGGCUCAGUUUCAUCACCCAGCAUGAAUUCACCAACAGAAGUUAUGAAACYUAAACUGUGAAGGAGUUGACUAUGCCUGAGGGAUGGAGCACACUGCUACUAUUCAAAURAAGUGAGGUCACUAAGUAGGUGCCACCCCAAAUAUGUGUGCUAAUUCUCCCUAAAAAUCUGUGUGGCACAACACGAGUAUGUAAAAACCUGACUGAACUAAGCUGAAAACCAGAGGUAAAAA